rnacentral:rRNA from 1 species
AGCAGUAGCCACGGUAAUACGUAGGUCCCGAGCGUUGUCCGGAUUUAUUGGGCGUAAAGCGAGCGCAGGCGGUUUGAUAAGUCUGAAGUUAAAGGCUGUGGCUCAACCAUAGUUCGCUUUGGAAACUGUCAAACUUGAGUGCAGAAGGGGAGAGUGGAAUUCCAUGUGUAGCGGUGAAAUGCGUAGAUAUAUGGAGGAACACCGGUGGCGAAAGCGGCUCUCUGGUCUGUAACUGACGCUGAGGCUCGAAAGCGUGGGGAGCGAACAGGAUUAGAUACCCGAGUAGUCCCUGUCUCUUAUACC